GUAACUUGCAAUUUACGAAAAGUUGGAAAGCAUAUAAACUCAUUUAAUUGAUAAACUCCUCCACUUUCUCAAGUCUUUGGCGGUGGUUGAAUACUUGAAUCAGAGAGAAAGGGAGCAACCGACAUUGAAUUGUGAAAAACAAAAGAGAUAAUUCAAGAAAAUUUCUGCAACAUCUGGAGGGGUAACCGGUUAGUGAGUGUUAAUUAGGAUUAAGACACGGAUUUUGUAGAGAAAUCAUGUUGGAUUCGGUUCGUAGACAGAAAAAAGAGAAGAAAACAGUUUACAGUUCUAAAUCCAUGGAUUGAAAAAAAUACUUGAAAUCCGUUGCAUGGGUGUUUAAGUAGUCAGUAAUCAGUAAUCACAGUAUUUGACAGAGAUAAAGAGAGAAUGAAGAUGAAAAUAUUUCGUUUCGCAUCCCACAUCGCUUGGAGGAGAAAGUUUUUCCGAUUAUUUAUACAUCAAAUGGACUUCGUUUAUCGCCGAGCUUGGUAACGCGAGCUUGUGACUCAAGUGAGGGCUCUAAAGUGGGAUGGACUGAGAUCGAGCCUUGUUUGGUUGGGUCAAAGCUGUUGCAAAAUCUGGUUUGCCCGUUCCAAGUUCGGAGUUGGAUCAAGUGGCUUGAGCGAAGGCUUGGGCUUCUUGGUUCCUAGAGCAGAGGGCAAUGCGUUAGGCUGGCUUCACAGAGCUGCGAUAACCUCUCGCUUCGAACAGUGGAAGGAUAACAAAUCGGUGCUCUCUUGGCUCAAAUAAUCAGCUUGGCUCCUUCUAAUGGACUCCCACUUUU